UACGUAGGCAGCAAGCGUUGUUCGGAGUUACUGGGCGUAAAGGGUGUGUAGGCGGUCUACUAAGUCUGGUGUGAAAUCUCCCGGCUCAACUGGGAGGGUGCGCCGAAUACUGAGGGACUAGAGUGCGGGAGAGGAAAGUGGAAUUCCUGGUGUAGCGGUGAAAUGCGUAGAUAUCAGGAGGAACACCGGUGGUGUAGACGGCUUUCUGGACCGUAACUGACGCUGAGACACGAAAGCGUGGGUAGCAAACAGG
rnacentral:rRNA from 1 species